GUUAUCACCUGUACUGCAGGGAUGGAACGUAAAUCACAUUAAAUUGAGGUUGUGGUGGCAGCUGUAGAGAGGUAUUUGGGUGUGCGAUACUUGACACCAGAAGAGUUACAUGGUGUGAUAAGUGGUGGUGUCCCAUCCUUUCAUGUUUUUGGCCUGAGGUAGGGCUAAAUCAAUGUAAAUAGUGGAGUAGGGUGGUGUUAUUAUGAUGAAAUUGUGAGUGUAGUGUUAAAAAUAGAAUGUAGGGUAUUUGUUUAUUUAUAACUUUUUUAAGCAAAGUAUAAGGGAGGUGGCAGUAGGUGGCGGUAAUGCAACAUUUAUUGGAUGCCGACUGCCGUUAAACCUCAUCGAAGAAGACGGAAAGGAAGAGGAAAAGAGAGGAUCAACUCGGCGGCAAAUCUGUCUCCCCCAGCAGGUCGCGGUUUUUUUUCGUUGUUUCGCCCACCAAGCAAGUCGUUUUGUAUGUAGGUCAAUGACAAUGUCGAAUUUGGUCAACUAAAAUAUGAAUGCUUUAUAUGCUACGUGAGAUUAAUUUGAUCGAAUAGAAGUUUCGUAAUGCUUUAAUUGUUAUGAGUGUACAGAUAUAAGUAGGACACGUGACAUCCCGGCAACUUUGAGAAACAACACUUUUUUAUUGGAGUUGCCUCGAGAUGACAUGCAUAUUCAUGUGAUGAGGCAGUAGCAUAGCAUAGAAAGGAUAGGCGGGAACUAGACAGCCCCUUUGUGGACAACAACUUCCAUUUUUAGGGCAGAGAGACAUGUAGUAUCUUGUCAGUAUAUCCAUUAUCUUUGGCUAAAUACAAACGACAUAAUCCCGUGUUGAAAUGGGUUGAGAUUACGUCAACUAAGAAACAAUAUAUUUUUUUAGCCACACCUAUCAGUCAUUGAGAUAUAUAUGAAUAAUUAUAUGUUCGUGGAUUUCAUUGUUUUUUUUUAGCUCGCCAUGACUCUGAGCAUGUCUCCGGCUGCGGUGUGCCAGUGCUUUACGCUGGUGUCACUGUGCACAUCCAUCGCCGACCCAAACUGGAUCCAAGUCAUCAACAACACUGACCCCGGAGGCAAACAGCUCAUCUAUGGUGUGGCUUUCAUACUGCAUGCGCCCCAGAACCUCACUGACACAGGUCCCCUGGGUGGCAUAAAUGGCUGGGGGGUGUGGCUGCUCUAUGCCCUGGCGGCUCUGUGCUACAGUGCUGUCCUGCUCUCCAGCUCCUCCUUCCUAUUGGACUUCCUGGGGACUGGGAUGUCCCACCCUCGACUGGUGGUGUUACUCCACAUCUCCACAGUGGUUCUCCUCCUGUCUGUUCUGGGAGUUUGUGGGGCCUGCCUGUACAUCAUCCACUGCAACCUUCAGGAGGGCAAGUUUGGGCCACUGUGGGAAUGGGUAGGGGGCUGGACCUGGCCUGGGUCUGGCUCCAGGAGCCAGGGAGGGGCGGCGGGGAUGAAGCCUUACCCAGGGGAGAGCUUCUACAUCACCAUGCUGGGCCUGCUCUUCUCCUGCCUGGCCGGUGUGAGCAGCCUGGGGGACCCCACCUCCACCCAGAGGGACUACACAGCUGUGGUGGAGUGGGACGACAGUGACACAGAGCCCCUUACCCCCAGGGAGCAGGGAGUGGGACAGUCUGAUGAAGAGGAGGGGGUAGGAGACGUGUUGCCUGAACUGACUCAGGGGGAGGUGGGUGGAAGUGGAGACUGCUAAAGGGGUUUGAAUGUGUGGCCCAAAAGGCUUAGUUUCGGACUAGAAUGCAAACCACACCACACAUGGCCUGUAACAGACUUAAUUAGACAGCAGUGCUGGCGCCUUCCCUGGUCAUGUUUUGAAUUCCUAAAGCUUCACUGGACCAAGCUGGUGGAAUCCAGUCAGGAGCCAAAAAAGAGACCAGAUACGUUUCCUAAUGUUGUUUUAAUGUUUGUCUGCCUAAAACAUGCCUUCUCGGGGUAUGUACAGUUGCACAACAUCAAGUCAAUAACCCAUUUAUGGGUUUAAAAAAAAAAAUCCCUUGUGGGAGUUUAUGCCCAGCGUCUCACACUUGACUCCACCAAUAUAAAUCGUUCUUUGGCUAGCUGUGAUAUUUGGAAAAGUGUGACAAGAAUGUAACGCGGUUAAGCUAUUUCUGUCUGUGUGUGACCAGGGAAAGUGAGAGUCUGUAUGUUAUAAUCGAUGUGUGACACAAAUUAUAUGCCCUUCCUGCUCAUCAAUGGGAACAAGCUUUGACCCUGUUCACAUUACUGCAAAAUAACCACUGGGGAAUGUUCCGGAUCAGCGAAUGGUUUGUUACCAUCAGAACCAGAAAAUAUGUUCAAUGAACAGAAGUUCAGACUGCUCAACAUUGCGAUCCUAACAUAGCUCAUGUUUGUACAAUCACCUAGUCUCCUCUUCUAGUUAACAUAAAAAUCCCUAGAUUAAGGUUUUUCUGAUUCUUUUAACAGGUUGUUUUUUAACCUAUGCAUUAUUUUAACUUCUUAAACCCUUUGCACAGUCUUCCAUAGUGACACUUUAAGUUUCCCAAAUGGUGGAAACAAAUCACAGAUUUCUAUGGAAGAUUUACCUGAAGUGUACUGAAACUGGAGUUUCCUUUGAGAAAUUCAAUUUAAAAAGCCCAUUUUGGCUUCUAUUAUGGCCGCUAUAGCUUUAAUCACAAAUUGAGGAACUAUAUAUUAGCAUGGUUGUUUACUACAAUAGGAAAGAUUGAGUGGGGAUAGGAAGUCUUUCCUUUCCACAGUAGGUAGUGUAAAUACAUGGUUCUUGCUUUAAAUGACUUGCUAUCUAAUCAUAUUUGAAUAUGACGUAUUAAAUAUUUGAUGUACUUAAAUAUUUGUUUCAUAAAAUGACACUGCUAUUGGUCACUAGAUACUUCAGAUCACUGUGAAAAUAUAUCCCGGUUUGGCAUCUUUAGACGUCUACAUUACAGCACAAACCACUGUAUGUAUGCUUAUCCUACUUGAAGGUAACCAAUAAGACAAGCUACUUGAUGGUGCUUGGUUGCAUGUGAUGGUAGGACCAUGGAUAUUGACUUGAUAAAUUAAGAUGGCUGCCUAGAAUCAGGUUUUCCUUACCCGCUUAUACCCUCAAGGCCUGUUUCCUGGACAUAGAUUAAUCUUUGUCCUGGACUAGGAAACAUUUUCAAUGGAGAUUAUGUUUUUAGUUCAAGACUAGGCUUAAUAUGUGUCCGGGAAACCGUCAAUCUUUUCCUCAGGUACAUAGGAAGACAUUCCUUCUCUUAUUCCAGGGUCACAGUCCCAUCUCUAUGAAUCAGACUUCUCAUUGUUGUUGUUUAUGAUGCUAUUUAUUCAUUAAACUAUUUUUGCGUAUUUGUAAAACAUGUGUACAUGCAUUUUCUUUCUGUUCCAGAACAGAAGUGUCCAGUCCAGUUACUCUCAUUCCCACUCAUCUGCUGUAUGUGUUGGUGUCCGUCAUCUCUGCCUCCUAUAGGUUAAUUUCCAACCAACAUCAUCAGGAAAUGGUCUUCAUCCAAAACCACAAGAUGACCACACAUGACCAGAACUGUCCCACAUCUUUCCCGAAGUCUUUCUGAAUGCAUAGGUAGGUUUUAGGGUUAGCCAGGCAGGACUCGCUGUGAACAUGAUGUCCCCUCUGUCAGCAAGCAAUGACUUCAGCAGACAAACCACUCCUUGAGAUGGAGUCAAUUUAGCCGAGCAGCUCACAGGAAGGACAGGAAGAGGAGAGGAGUUGUCUGGUUGUUGUUUUGACCUCCCUCAUUAUACCUUUCCUUUCACACACGUCUGUUCUGUUUAAAUUCAGUCAAUUCAUAAAGUCAUUUGUUUCUAAAGUCUUAGGAUAGCAUUCAUUAUUAGUGUUACAUAGAUUUCUGAAUUGACAGAAUUGAAACUCAUACACCGGAGAAUUCAGAUGCUCUUGUUGGUCUCUUACAAGACUAAAGGUCAAUAUAUUUCUUUCAUUUAAAACCACUUGAAAACCAGGGUGUUGAAACUGUUUGUGAAGUUAGAUUCCAUCGACUGGUCCAUGACGUCCAAGGGCCAUUUGUUUGUUUAGCUGUGUUAUGGCUACACAUUAUUUAUUUAUUUUCAGAGACAGAGACACACACACACCUCUCCUCCACUCCUCUCUGUACCUCAGAUCUCCAGUGUCCUGCCCUUUCUCUCUUUAUGGCCAUGUCUGCAGUUCCCCUACUACGUCUAGGCUUUAUGAGUAGUCCCUGUAUCUGUCUGCAGUUCCUCUACUACGUCUAGGCUUUAUGAGUAGUCCCUGUAUCUGUCUGCAGUUCCCCUACUACGUCUAGGCUUUAUGAGUAGUCCCUGUAUCUGUCUGCAGUUCCUCUACUACGUCUAGGCUUUAUGAGUAGUCCCUGUAUCUGUCUGCAGUUCCCCUACUACGUCUAGGCUUUAUGAGUAGUCCCUGUAUCUGUCUGCAGUUCCCCUACUAUGUCUAG
rnacentral:lncRNA from 1 species